ensembl:misc_RNA 7SK 7SK RNA
GGAUGUUAGAGCAAUCUAACAGUGACAUCUGUUACUCCAUUGUAUGCCAGGUUUGAUUCGAAGGAUUUGGAUGGUUGGAAGAUGUCCAGUAAUUCCCUCACUGUUCUAUAAUUGUCAUUCUGCCAUAGGCAUUGGCUGUAUCUUCAGUAUGUCACCCACAACAAAAAUGGUGAUACUCCCAGGUAGAGGAGGACGGCACUCUAGUCCAAGCAAUAGAAUUAGCUGAACACUCCUGCUAGAAACUCAAAACAAGUCUGCAAGGCUCCUGUUGAAAUGCCAAGCUCUACUUUAAUUUAUAAAACAAACAUUUUAAAAUGUAGUAAAAAUGUU